rnacentral:rRNA from 1 species
UAAUACCGAAUGGUCUCGAGAGAGGAAAGAUUUAUCGCUGAAGGAUGGGCCCGCGUCGGAUUAGGUAGUUGGUGGGGUAAUGGCCUACCAAGCCAAUGAUCUGUAGCUGGUCUGAGAGGAUGGCCAGCCACACUGGGACUGAGACACGGCCCAGACUCCUACGGGAGGCAGCAGUGGGGAAUCUUAGACAAUGGGGGAAACCCUGAUCCAGCGAUGCCGCGUGAGUGAAGAAGGCCUUAGGGUUGUAAAGCUCUUUCACCUGAGAAGAUAAUGACGGUAUCAGGAGAAGAAGCACCGGCUAACUCUGUGCCAGCAGCCGCGGUAAUU